GACGAACGCUGGCGGCGUGCUUAACACAUGCAAGUCGAGCGGGGAUUGAAUUUGGAAGGUUUCGGCUGGAAGGAUUCAAUUCUAGCGGCGGACGGGUGAGUAACGCGUGAGCAAUCUGUCCCACACAGGGGGAUAACAACUGGAAACAGUUGCUAAUACCGCAUAAGACCACGAUGUCGCAUGGCAGUGAGGUAAAAGAUUUAUCGGUGUGGGGUGAGCUCGCGUCUGAUUAGCUAGUUGGUGAGGUAACGGCCCACCAAGGCGACGAUCAGUAGCCGACCUGAGAGGGUGAUCGGCCACAUUGGAACUGAGACACGGUCCAGACUCCUACGGGAGGCAGCAGUGGGGAAUAUUGGGCAAUGGGCGCAAGCCUGAUCCAGCAACGCCGCGUGAGGGAAGAAGGCUUUCGGGUUGUAAACCUCUGUCCUAAGUGACGAACAAGAUGACGGUAGCUUAGGAGGAAGCCCCGGCUAACUACGUGCCAGCCGCCGCAGUAACAC
rnacentral:rRNA from 1 species